CCCCCAACAUGUGAUGAUGACAUCAUCACAGGUCCUACUUUUCCAGCAUCCAGCAGUCCGGGCCAGGGGAGAAGACAGAGGGAGGAAUGAACAACUGUCUUACCCUUCUCAUACAAGCUGAGUAGAGCAGCCUGCUGAACUAUGAACAGAACUGGUGGCUACCAAGCAAAUUGAAGCCCCCUGCAGUAAAGAAGAGACACUACCUGAGGCAGGAUACACCUUAUAGAUAGUGUCUUGGACUCAGUGACUUUGGAGGGAGCACAAGGCACUGCCCAGUGAUUCAGGAGGAACUCCCAGACUUGGUGGUUGCUACUGGACUAAGAGGCAGUCAACGUCCAGUUUUCUUGUGCGUACGUGCGUCGGCGUGCCUAACGACAUGAUGGCAGCGACGGAGAGCGAGGAUACCCGGCCGGCAGCAGAGACGUAUCGGAGCGACGGGGACACGGCGACAGCGAUGGAGCGACAUCCAGGGUAGCGGUGACGGGUCCGGAGUGGCGGGGACACAUGCAACAUUAUAUAAUUCUGUGAUCCUCAGAGGUGAGAUGAUAACAGGGUGAAUAACACCUUCAAACUUCAUCUGUAUACCUAGAGAAACAAGAGAAUACCGUGGUGUUACCAACUACAAGAGGAGCUUUAGGAAAUUUGCGCUUCAAUUCAAGAAGUUCUUCAAGGGUGGAAGGUGAAUACCAUUGGAUUCUCUCUCCAUAGAAGGUCUUCAUUUCCUUUGGAUCUUUGAGCAUUAACU